CAAUUACAUUGCUUUAGUUUGUCCCUCUUUUUUCUACCUACAAGUGAAACCUGUGGGUGUGGUGGAUGGGACACUCUGGACUACCUCGGGUCUGAAAGGCUGCCUGAUUUUAGAAUCCUUGUUGUGCUCAAGUGAGCUAUAUCACAGUAACUGGUCUCUACUUUUAAUUUUAGUAAAUAACUUAACGUAUUUUAUUUAUUCUCCUUAAAGAACUCUUAUUGAACCAGUAGGAAGAUGAGUUGAAGAAAGCCAAUCUGUGAGGCUGCUUCAGAUUUCCAUAAUCCAUUCGAAGACCGACAGAAGUAAGAUGUUGCAUUGGACACUGCCCUGUACCUCUCUGUUUUCAACAAGAGCUCACGAGACUGAGAAAUUUGCAGCCUCCUUAGCCUUGUGUCCAGUGCUGCAAAGACUUCUGGGCAUCCCGGCCGCAGCUGGCACUGCCGCAGUGCGCAUGGCACACCCUGAAGCUGCUCUGGACACCUCCACCUGCAUACAGGCUCUUGCAGUGCCUGGUGCCUGUGAAAUCUGCCACCUUCCAAACAGAAUCACUUGGUGUUUGUGACUCUGCAAAAUGCCUGCACAUCUCGGCGCGGUCACAGGUCUGUUCAAGUCCAUCAGCCCGGGCUCCACCGUCAUCAGAGCACCCGAGGAACCGCAUCCUAGAAAGUGAGAUCAUUUGAGCAGAUUUACAACUUUGAUCAAAGUUAAUUCUCAUGCACGUUGGCUGAAAACGGUGACAGGGACCCAGGACAACAAUGCGUAGAGCUUCUCUGGCUGCCCUCCAUCCUCUUGGAUCUUCUGGACAGUCUCACAUGAAUGUGAUGGAAGAUGUGAUUCCACCUCUGUUUCAGAUGGAAAAGGAAAUGGAACUGUGUGAGAACUGACCUUACUCGAUCUGUGAUGCUGGGCUGUUUCAUCCCCAGUUGCCUAAGGAAACGGCUGUGUUGAGAGACAUUUUUCAGCGUUUUUUUUUUGUGUGUGAGAUGCUGGUUGAAAAGAGCCCUACUUUUUGAAUUCCAGCUCUGAAAAUUAUGUGGCCUUGGAAAAGCAACAAAUUAUCAAAAGGAAAGCAAGAAAAAGGGGGAAAAAAUGUGCUGUCCAGCGAAAGAAGACAACUUGCUUGACUUCUCUCAGCGAGAAGAAAGACUUGGAAACUUCUGUUCAGCACACCGGACUUGUCACUGUCAUCAUCAAGCCAUCAAACUCAACACAAGAGCCACAAAAUGAUCAAAAAUGCAGAAUGUGACUGUAGCAGUGCCUGGCAGGUGGCUGCGGGGAGCUGAUGGCGCACAAGGACCGUGGGGAGCAGACAGAUGCUGAAACAGUCCCAGCCCAAACACCCACAGGUAGGCUUGGUCUCAAGCCAGUCUUUAAAAUCGGAAUAUUUCACUUAGAAAUUUUGCAUUGUUCAUU